rnacentral:rRNA from 1 species
GAUAACGUUCCGAAAGGAACGCUAAUACCGCAUACGUCCUACGGGAGAAAGCAGGGGACCUUCGGGCCUUGCGCUAUCAGAUGAGCCUAGGUCGGAUUAGCUAGUUGGUGAGGUAAUGGCUCACCAAGGCGACGAUCCGUAACUGGUCUGAGAGGAUGAUCAGUCACACUGGAACUGAGACACGGUCCAGACUCCUACGGGAGGCAGCAGUGGGGAAUAUUGGACAAUGGGCGAAAGCCUGAUCCAGCCAUGCCGCGUGUGUGAAGAAGGUCUUCGGAUUGUAAAGCACUUUAAGUUGGGAGGAAGGGCGUUUGGCUAAUAUCCAAGCGUUUUGACGUUACCGACAGAAUAAGCACCGGCUAACUUCGUGCCAGCAGCCGCGGUAAUACGAAGGGUGCAAGCGUUAAUCGGAAUUACUGGGCGUAAAGCGCGCGUAGGUGGUUCGUUAAGUUGGAUGUGAAAGCCCCGGGCUCAACCUGGGGAACUGCAUCCAAAACUGGCGAGCUAGAGUACGGUAGAGGGUAGUGGAAUUUCCUGUGUAGCGGUGAAAUGCGUAGAUAUAGGAAGGGAACACCAGUGGCGAAGGCGACUACCUGGGACUUGAUACUGACACUGAGGUGCGAAAGCGUGGGGAGCAAACAGGAAUUAGAUACCCCUGGUAGUCCACGCCGUAAACGAUGUCAACUAGCCGUUGGGUUCCUUGAGAACUUAGUGGCGCAGCUAACGCAUUAAGUUGACCGCCUGGGGAGUACGGCCGCAAGGUUAAAACUCAAAUGAAAUUGACGGGGGCCCGCACAAGCGGAUGGAGCAUGUGG